rnacentral:lncRNA from 1 species
AAAUAUAUAAUUGUGUUACAUAAGAAUAGAAUGUACUAUUCUCUAUAACCAAAACUCAUGAAUAAUUUUACGAAGCCUUUAAGAAAAGAAAAAAAACCAUAGAAUAUUUGUUCAUUUACCAUAUACUUAAUUUUUUAUUUUUUUUUGUUAACUAGAGUAUUAUUAUUCUCAAUUAAAAACGAAGUAAGAUUAUAGCAGCAAAGCCAAACUAGUCAAAAACACUAAAACAAACUUUGCAAGAAAUUAAAGGAAAAAACUGAAUCUCUCACUUAACCCUCGUCCUAGGAACCUUUAUGAUAUACACUAGAUAGCUAAAUUCUA